AGUGAACGCUGGCGGUAGGCCUAACACAUGCAAGUCGAACGGCAGCACAGUAAGAGCUUGCUCUUACGGGUGGCGAGUGGCGGACGGGUGAGGAAUACAUCGGAAUCUACUUUUUCGUGGGGGAUAACGUAGGGAAACUUACGCUAAUACCGCAUACGACCUACGGGUGAAAGCAGGGGAUCUUCGGACCUUGCGCGAUUGAAUGAGCCGAUGUCGGAUUAGCUAGUUGGCGGGGUAAAGGCCCACCAAGGCGACGAUCCGUAGCUGGUCUGAGAGGAUGAUGAGCCACAGGGGCACGGAGACACGGUCCAGACUCCUCGGGGGGGCAGCAGGGGGGAAUAUUGGACAGGGGGCGAAAGCCUGACCCAGCCAUCCGGGGGGGGGGAAGAGGGCCUUGGGUUUGAAAGCCCUUUUUGUGGGAAAAAAAAAGCAGAAGGUUAAUCCCCCGCUGUUCGGAGGGAACCAAAAAAAAAACCCCCGGCUACCUUCGUG
rnacentral:rRNA from 1 species